GAUUAUUCAGCUCUGUAUAAAAAGUUUGUUGUUGUUGGAAAGCUUUUUCAAGGGGAUGUCAAAGCAUAAAAAUUUAGAAGUCGUUAGGAUGAUUUUUGUUUUCCAUCGUUAUUUUACGUUGUAAUCGUCAAUUUUAACUCGUGGAAGGGAAGAUGCCCACUCAAUUUUUUUUGCUCUACAGCCGCCGGAAGAAAUCAUUUUUCGCACUAAAGAGAUCCACCGUUUAGUGCUCGAAAUAUGUUAAGGGCUUUGCAGGAGAAAAAUUACCCCUGGUUGGAGCUACCCAAUGUGCCUAAUGACACAUCCGGGGGAAUACAAUCUAAAAAUAUACCGUUCUAUAUGAGCUGCUCCAAAACACCGCUGCUUCCUUGCUCUACUGCAUCCGCCCAAAGAACCUGGGCAAGCUGGAAACGGUCCGAAAUCGCCGAAAGCAACAUGUAACAUCCCGCUCGUUUCCCUUGAGGGUGAACCCGAUGAUAGCGGCUAUUCUUCAGACAAGGAGGAUCGGGCGGAUCAGCUUCUUCGAUAAUGGUGUGAGCACUGGAGGCCAAGUUCCAAAUGUUACGCUCUGUUUUAGUGACGUUAAGGAUGCGACGAAAAGCAGCCGUUAACAUUAUUCCGCGGGUAGAAAUAUUGGCGAACAGAACCAUAGAGCUGAAAGCUGGAACGUUGGCCGGAUAAGGAGCAAGCUAAUUUUGUCGUUCCCAAAAAGUAGCCAAAAUCUAACGGUAGUCAUCUCUCCAACAAGAAUGCCAAUUCCGAAAAAAAACAGUAAUUCGACGAUUUUAACUAGCCUACCAAGCAGCUCAUAGAUGGCCAGUUUGUCUUUAUUUACUUAAUAAAUUAUGAUUA